GCCGGGUGUUGUGGCGGGCGCCUGUGGUCCCAGCUACUUGGGAGGCAGAGGCAGGAGACUCGCUUGAGCCCAGGAGUUGGAAGUUGCUGUGAGCUGUGAUGCCACAGCCCUCUACCCAGGGGAACAGCUUGAGGCUCUGUCUCAAAAAAAAAAAAAAAAAAAGAGACCCAAGCAUUUCUUUUUUUUUUUUGAGACAGAGCCUCAAGCUGUUGCUCUGGUUAGAUUGCUAUGGCAUCACAGCUCACAGCAACUUCCAACUCCUGGGCUUAAGUGAUUCUCUUGCCUCAG
rfam:Otolemur garnettii contig179641, whole genome shotgun sequence.